rnacentral:rRNA from 1 species
UACGUAGGGUGCGAGCGUUGUCCGGAAUUAUUGGGCGUAAAGAGCUCGUAGGCGGUCUGUCGCGUCGGCUGUGAAAACCCGGAGCUCAACUCCGGGCCUGCAGUCGAUACGGGCAAACUGGAGUGUUGCAGGGGAGACUGGAAUUCCUGGUGUAGCGGUGAAAUGCGCAGAUAUCAGGAGGAACACCGGUGGCGAAGGCGGGUCUCUGGGCAACAACUGACGCUGAGGAGCGAAAGCGUGGGGAGCGAACAGG